rnacentral:rRNA from 1 species
AUUGAACGCUGGCGGCAGGCCUAACACAUGCAAGUCGAACGGCAGCGGGGGGUAGCUUGCUACCCCGCCGGCGAGUGGCGGACGGGUGAGUAAUGCCUGGGGAGCUGCCCAAUCGAGGGGGAUACCAGUUGGAAACGACUGCUAAUACCGCAUACGCCCUGAGGGGGAAAGGUGGGGAUCUUCGGACCUACCGCGAUUGGAUGCACCCAGGUGGGAUUAGCUAGUUGGUGAGGUAACGGCUCACCAAGGCGACGAUCUCUAGCUGGUCUGAGAGGAUGACCAGCCACACUGGAACUGGGACACGGUCCAGACUCCUACGGGAGGCAGCAGUGGGGAAUAUUGCACAAUGGGGGAAACCCUGAUGCAGCCAUGCCGCGUGUGUGAAGAAGGCCUUCGGGUUGUAAAGCACUUUCAGCGAGGAGGAAAGGUUGGCAGCUAAUACCUGUCAGCUGUGACGUUACUCGCAGAAGAAGCACCGGCUAACUCCGUGCCAGCAGCCGCGGUAAGAC